AGGAUUAGGUGAGCUGUGAUUGACAGCUGAUAUAACCUAUCAGGAAGGGGCAGUCCCUUUUUAAGCGCUGAUUGGCUGCUCCCUGCAAUGCGUCAUGUCCUGUGUUUCCCCGGGGUGUUUUUAACGAUAGCGACAGUGUGUCGUUUGUCUAGCGUGCUGGCGCCCUUCUACGUGUAGUGGUACAUGACAGUGUAACCUCAGUUGGCCGCUGGUUGAUCUGCUGUGGGUUAAGCUAUGCCAUAAAACUGUUAUUUGUCUGGGGUGAUACCACUAUUCGGGUUUUCCCUCUUGUUCUACGUCCUGUCCCUCGCGAGUGUUUGAUUCUCGUGCUGCUGAGUAGCAUCGCGGUGGCACCGACCUUAUCCUCUCUGCUGUAUGCUGGACUGUACACUGUCUGGUUUCUAAGUUUCAGGGUUGAUUUUAAGAUCCGAGUGAAGGAUUGUCCGGUGCAUUUGGAGUUGGCAAAUGGACUGUGGCGUUCGCGCAGUGUAGCUUCCCUUGCCCUUAACCCUUUUUGUUUCUUUUCUUUAUUUGUAUAUCAUUUUUGUCUGAAUAUUUGUAUAUUGUUUAUACUUUUAGGUGCUGAGGUUCCCACGGGUGGAUGGAUCUUGUGGUGGUGGUGGUAACGUUUAAUGUUUACCGUGUUACACAUUUUUGAAGUGUAUAAGUGUGUGCUUUGAGUUCACCGUGUGGUGUGAAAUUGUGCUUGUGGAUAACUUGCGCCAGAGAUCACUCCGGUGGGUAACCUCAGCCCUGCAGGUUAUUAUGUUGUUUUGUUUUCAUUUACCUUAAUUUUGAGUGUGUGAUUGUGAUGCAUUUCCAAGUGGAGUGACUGUAUGUUUGGGAGUGCUCAUUUUAAAGGGGUUAUGUGUAAAUAAAAGUCUAUUUUCGUACUAUACCCACGUCUCUUGCUCACUCUCUAUUUAAAGAGGAACGAACUUGUGUGCCUUUCCACCCUUUUGGGUGUAAGGAAUAUUUCCCUGGGUGUAAGUCCCGGGGUGGUGUAGUCGGAAUUUUAUGUAAGAUCUUUGCUUCCGUCAUGAAGCUAAAC